AACGUAGGAGACAAACGUUAUCCGGAGUUACUGGGCGUAAAGGGCGUGUAGGUGGUAAUGUAAGUCUGGCGUGAAAUUUUUCGGCUUAACCGGGAAAGGUCGUCGGAGACUGCAUAACUAGAGGACGGUAGAGGCGAGUGGAAUUCCUGGUGUAGCGGUGAAAUGCGCAGAUAUCAGGAGGAACACCAAUGGCGAAGGCAGCUCGCUGGAACGGUACUGACGCUGAGGCGCGAAAGCGUGGGGAGCGAACAGG
rnacentral:rRNA from 1 species